rnacentral:sRNA from 1 species
UGAAUCGCUGAAUUCCCUAAGGGGAAACGGGGGAACCAACAGAAGCCGUUACAUGGUUUCACGGGGUGAAUUCCUUGUCUGCCUGACACAUGGAAAGGGUACUCUCAAGCCCUAACCCGACAGCUAACCUCGUAAGCGUAUUGAGAGAGA